AGGUAAGCUACUAAGAGCGAAUGGUGGAUGCCUUGACUGGUAAAGGCGAUGAAGGACGUACUAGACUGCGAUAAGCUACGGGGAGCUGUCAAGAAGCUUUGAUCCGUAGAUUUCCGAAUGGGGCAACCCAAUGUAUAGAGAUAUACAUUACCUAUAUAGGAGCGAACGAGGGGAAUUGAAACAUCUUAGUACCCUCAGGAAAAGAAAUCAAUAGAGAUUGCGUCAGUAGCGGCGAGCGAAAGCGCAAGAGGGCAAACCCAGUGCUUGCACUGGGGGUUGUAGGACUGCAAUGUGCAAGAGGUGAGUUUAGCAGAACAUUCUGGAAAGUAUAGCCAUAGAGGGUGAUAGUCCCGUAUGCGAAAAACAAACCUUAGCUAGCAGUAUCCUGAGUAGGGCGGGACACGAGAAAUCCUGUCUGAAGCUGGGUCGACCACGAUCCAACCCUAAAUACUAAUACCAGAUCGAUAGUGCACAAGUACCGUGAGGGAAAGGUGAAAAGAACUGAGGUGAUCAGAGUGAAAUAGAACCUGAAACCAUUUGCUUACAAUCAUUCAGAGCCCUAUGUAGCAAUACAGGGUGAUGGACUGCCUUUUGCAUAAUGAGCCUGCGAGUUGUGGUGUCUGGCAAGGUUAAGCAAACGCGAAGCCGUAGCGAAAGCGAGUCUGAAUAGGGCGCUUAGUCAGAUGCUGCAGACCCGAAACGAAGUGAUCUAUCCAUGAGCAAGUUGAAGCUAGUGUAAGAACUAGUGGAGGACUGAACCCAUAGGCGUUGAAAAGCCCCGGGAUGACUUGUGGAUAGGGGUGAAAGGCCAAUCAAACUUCGUGAUAGCUGGUUCUCUCCGAAAUAUAUUUAGGUAUAGCGUUGUGUCGUAAUAUAAGGGGGUAGAGCACUGAAUGGGCUAGGGCAUACACCAAUGUACCAAACCCUAUCAAACUCCGAAUACCUUAUAUGUAAUCACAGCAGUCAGGCGGCGAGUGAUAAAAUCCGUCGUCAAGAGGGAAACAACCCAGACUACCAGCUAAGGUCCCUAAAUCUUACUUAAGUGGAAAACGAUGUGAAGUUACUUAAACAACCAGGAGGUUGGCUUAGAAGCAGCCAUCCUUUAAAGAAAGCGUAAUAGCUCACUGGUCUAGUGAUUUUGCGCGGAAAAUAUAACGGGGCUAAAGUAAGUACCGAAGCUGUAGACUUGCGCACAACUUAGAUUAUUUAAGUUUAGAAUAUGAGAAACUAAGUUAUAUGUUUAGUUAUAUUUUUACUGAUUUUUAUAGAGUAAAGAUAGAAAUAAAACUUAGUAAAAUCAGUAAAAAUAUUCUUAGACUAAAGUUAAGUAGUUUAAGUUGUGUGCAAGUGGUAGGAGAGCGUUCUAUUUGCGUCGAAGGUAUACCGGUAAGGAGUGCUGGAGCGAAUAGAAGUGAGCAUGCAGGCAUGAGUAGCGAUAAUUAAUGUGAGAAUCAUUAACGCCGUAAACCCAAGGUUUCCUACGCGAUGCUCGUCAUCGUAGGGUUAGUCGGGUCCUAAGUCGAGUCCGAAAGGGGUAGACGAUGGCAAAUUGGUUAAUAUUCCAAUACCAACAUUAGUGUGCGAUGGAAGGACGCUUAGGGCUAAGGGGGCUAGCGGAUGGAAGUGCUAGUCUAAGGUCGUAGGAGGUUAUACAGGCAAAUCCGUAUAACAAUACUCCGAGAACUGAAAGGCUUUUUGAAGUCUUCGGAUGGAUAGAAGAACCCCUGAUGCCGUCGAGCCAAGAAAAGUUUCUAAGUUUAGCUAAUGUUGCCCGUACCGUAAACCGACACAGGUGGGUGGGAUGAGUAUUCUAAGGCGCGUGGAAGAACUCUCUUUAAGGAACUCUGCAAAAUAGCACCGUAUCUUCGGUAUAAGGUGUGGUUAGCUUUGUAUUAGGAUUUACUCCGAAAGCAAGGAAACUUACAACAAAGAGUCCCUCCCGACUGUUUACCAAAAACACAGCACUCUGCUAACUCGUAAGAGGAUGUAUAGGGUGUGACGCCUGCCCGGUGCUCGAAGGUUAAUUGAUGGGGUUAGCAUUAGCGAAGCUCUUGAUCGAAGCCCGAGUAAACGGCGGCCGUAACUAUAACGGUCCUAAGGUAGCGAAAUUCCUUGUCGGUUAAAUACCGACCUGCAUGAAUGGCGUAACGAGAUGGGAGCUGUCUCAAAGAGGGAUCCAGUGAAAUUGUAGUGGAGGUGAAAAUUCCUCCUACCCGCGGCAAGACGGAAAGACCCCGUGGACCUUUACUACAGCUUGACACUGCUAUUUGGAUAAGAAUGUGCAGGAUAGGUGGGAGGCUUUGAGUAUAUGACGCCAGUUGUAU
rnacentral:rRNA from 1 species